UGGGUAACCUGCCUCAAAGAGGGGAAUAGCCUCCCGAAAGGGAGAUUAAUACCGCAUAAUAUGUUUAGGUCGCAUGACUUUAACAUCAAAGGAUUUUCUUUUAGAAAUUCCACUUUGAGAUGGACCCGCGGCGCAUUAGCUAGUUGGUGAGGUAACGGCUCACCAAGGCAACGAUGCGUAGCCGACCUGAGAGGGUGAUCGGCCACAUUGGGGCUGAGACACGGCCCAGACUCCUAGGAGG
rnacentral:rRNA from 1 species